rnacentral:rRNA from 1 species
UACCAGCACCCCGAGUGGUCGGGACGAUUAUUGGGCCUAAAGCAUCCGUAGCCGGUUCUACAAGUCUUCCGUUAAAUCCACCUGCUUAACAGAUGGGCUGCGGAGGAUACUAUAGAGCUAGGAGGCGGGAGAGGCAAGCGGUACUUAGUGGGUAGGGGUAAAAUCCGUUGAUCCAUUGAAGACCACCAGUGGCGAAGGCGGCUUGCCAGAACGCGCUCGACGGUGAGGGAUGAAAGCUGGGGGAGCAAACCGG